CCUCUGCAAAUUGUGUAAUCAUCAAAAUGAAUGCUUUAGCAAAUCUCUUUGUUUCCUUUUCUACCACCCCAUGCAUGUUGUAACAUGAUUUCUGAUUUUGUGACCUGGAGCUGAUUUUUUUUUUUUUUGAAACCACGAAGAUCUGUUUGGCAUUAUCCACGUGAGUAUCCGCCCUGCUGAAGAGCCCUCCACUCUAUUCCCAGCACUCCAGUUUGAUGGAAGAGCCUUUCAACCUUCCCACGUCAGAAUGCAUUCUGAUGUCAGACUUGUUCUUAUCAUGAUGAAGACCAUAGUCUUACUUAUUCUAGAAAAGUAUUUGGUUACAUGCUAACAAACCUACAAUAAAAAUCAGGAAGAAUACUUAUAGCCUAUGUUACUGGACUAUUUUCUACGUAAGAAUUAGAUAAACUCUAAAAUCUCACUAAGUUCACUAUCACUAACACUGAUGCAGGAUUUUUCUUCUUGGUCAUUUUGCAAGCCGGGGACCCCCGGCCAGUGACACUCCACCCGGGCCUCGCUCGGCCACGCUGGCAUGCCCCAGCUCACCUAUGUUAUAGCUUGUACCUGCAUUCGGUGGUUCCCGAGCUCUGGUACUGCACCCAAGAAGAAUAAGGAUACGCUGGGCAUUGAAGUGGAACCAAGGGCGGGUAAUAUCAGAAGAAAAUCGUGCGAUGAAAAUGAAGAUCAGAAGCGCAUACUGAACAAGCAACUGACUUUGUUAAUCUCUUGAAAAAUAGCAUCAAGGGGGAUGUUUUUAAAUUAAAGAAGAAUGAUUUUGCUUUUCAUUCAUUGUUGUUUUUCUUCC
rnacentral:lncRNA from 1 species